rnacentral:rRNA from 1 species
GACGGAGGAUGCAAGUGUUAUCCGGAAUCACUGGGCGUAAAGCGUCUGUAGGUGGUUCGAAAAGUCCACUGUUAAAAAUUGAAGCUUAACUUCAAAGAUGCCGUGGAAACUUUCAAACUAGAGUGUGGAAGGGGUAGAGGGAAUUUCCAGUGGAGCGGUGAAAUGCGUAGAUAUCGGGAGGAACACCAGAGGCGAAGGCGGCCACCUGGACAGAGAUUGACGCUGAGACGCGAAAGCGUGGGGAGCAACCAGG